UGGCUAAUAGGAAGUGAAGAAAGUCUGCAUCCAAAGAACUCUCAGCAGAGACCUGAGCUGUGAAUAGGAAUUAGCUGAGAGGAACAAAGGUGUGGUGUGAUCAGCUGUUUCCAGCUCCUGCUGCCUCAACUUCCCAGCCAUGAUUGACCGUAAAAUGUUGUCUGGCCUACUCCACUGUCCAUGGUGUUCCUUUCAAACUGUCCUUCAAGCUGCUGCAAGAGAUAGUUCAGGGGUCGAAAGUGUUUGCUACCAAGCCUGACAACCUCCAUUUGAUCCCCAGAGCUGACAUUGUGGAACAGAGAAAUGUCUCCUGAAGGUUGUCCUCAGUGUGCACACAUAUACACAAUAAAUAAAUGUAAAAAUAAAAAUAA